CUCUGUAGAACCCAAGCCCCAGCGCGGUCGGCAGGUUGUUAAAAAGCGCGCGAAAAUUCGGAAGCAAAAACAAAAUGGAAUUCGCUUUUUGAAACAAAGACAAAUUGUUCAAAUAAUUGUCAGAAAAGGACUGUGACAGCACGAAAACGGUUACUAUCAAACAAUACAAAACUAUCUUCGACAGGUAUUUAUUAUAUUUUCUCUUUAUUACUGUAAAAUAUCGUCUUUUUGUCCAUGUAUAAUGAGUUUGAACAGUUCCUGGCAGCGUAGGAAGUCGAGGGGCAUUUCACUCCAAAAAAGCGUACGGGAUUUUCGGAUUUUUAAAAAUCCGCGGAUUUUUUAGCGGAUUUUUCCCGGAUUUUUUUGCGGAUUUUUGAAGAAAAAAUCUCUUGGAUUUUCCGGGUUUGUCUGGAUUUUCCGGAUUUGUUCCGAUUUUUUCCGGAUUUUUUGACGAAGCGUACGGGAUUUUCGGAUUUUUAAUAAUCCGCGGAUUUUUUAGCGGAUUUUUAGCGGAUUUUUGAAGAGAAAAUCUGUUGGAUUUUCCGGAUUUGUUCGGAUUUUUUCCGGAUUUUUUGACGAAGUGUACGGGAUUUUUGGAGUGAAAUGCCCCUCGUAGGAAGUGACAAGCGAGGUGACAAGCUCGUCAGUCGAGCUCCCGGAUUCAAAGGGUUUCAACUAUCUGAAAAUACAAAAACUUGGAGACGUUUCCAGUGAAAGCUCUUCGUCUUGGCUUUCUUCUCGGGGGGUUUUAAAAUUUGAAUGUAUAAUAAAAACAAUUAUUGGGCUCGGUGUACAUUAUCAAGAAUCGUCCAGACCUCGGUCUAUGUUAUUCGUCUUCGCUUCGGUAGAUAACAUUGACCUCAGUCUGAAAAUUUUUUAUAUCAGUUUCAUCCAAUAAUUGUUUUAUAAUUAUUUUCAUUGUGUUAGUUUAAUUUAUUCUGCAACGCUUUCUGUAACUCAUGUAGUAAUAUAGUAUUAAUAUAGUUGGGUAAUACACACAAUAUGGCAAUAAUAGCUACUUGUUCGUUAUAUAAAAUAUAGAAAAAAUACCGUAAACAUUCAUCGCAAGCCAUCUACACAUUUCACAUAUAGCUUAUUCGACGUAAGAGAAUAGAUCGCUUAUUAUGCUUCGUAGUCAAUUCGUCGCAAUUAAAACCUCGCUAAUUAAUAAAACAGUAAAUAAAAUGCUUAUAAGUUAUAUAUGAACUUGUUUCGUAACAUAUCUUGACUAAAAAUUAACCUUAACUUUCUUUAAUAUACUUUAUUUCACUUGAUAGUUAAACCGGCCAUUUUUAAACUGGGUUUUUCUUGUAAAACGUUUUGCACUAUUAAUAAUAACAAUCACAGUUAAUUUAGUUAAGUUUUUCAAAACUUUUUGUACGUUUUGAAGGAUUCAUAAGAAAUGUUUGAGGAAACUGACUGAGUGUUAAACAUUCAGUCAAUUCCUUCAAACAUUUCUUGCAAAUCCUUCAAAGUUCAAAACGUACAAAAAGUUUUGAAAAACCUAGAAUUUUAUACAGCAAUAGGCUAAUACUCCUUUAGCAUUAUUAGUUCUAGCUGAAAUUGCUUAUUAUUAUGUGGUGGAAAAUGUUCCGAAAAAUUAUUUCUUUAGUAUAAAGUAAAACCGAUAAUAUAUUCAGUUAAAUGUUCCAUAAUAGAUUAUAUUCCCAACCUUUAAACAUUCAUUGAAUACCAAUGGUAUUCUCGUCGACAGUAAAACGUUCAUAAACUUUCCUGACUCUUAAAGAGAUAAUAUUCAAUGUUCGUUUAUAAUUAAUUAUAUAUUCCGCUGUUUCAAUCAUUCAUGGCCACCAAUGAAUGAUAUUUUCAUUGACAGUAAAACUUUAGUUUCCAUUUUAAAAGAUAAUAUUCAGUGUUUAUAAUUGAUUAUAUAUUCCGUUGUUUCAAUCAUUCAGUGAAUUCCGAUUCCGGUAUUUUCAUUGACAGUAUAAAACGUUGCUCUGAAAACGUUGGUAAAGUUCCAUUUUAAAAGAUAAUAUUCAGUGUUUAUAAUUGAUUAUAUAUUCCGCUGUUUCAAACAUUUAAUGAAUUCCGUCAAUUGGGGCAAUCUGUCCAGAUCGACUCAACAAUUCCCUUCUCCCAGUCGCAACAUUUCUCGUAACUUGUAUGAAACAGUAACGUCCCACAACACCUAUCCACCUGUGGGUCAGAGGUGUUCCUCACCUUUCCCCCACAACACUUUGCUUUUCUGGUAUCCAUGGUACGUGCCCCACAACACCGUGUGUACCGAAACCCACCUUCCAAAAGCUGCACCUGCCCUUCACAGCACGUGUCCUUGAACGGGUUAAACGAUAUUCGCCCACAACACGAGCUUGGUAGGUAGUAUGGUACGUUGCUACUGGUUACCGCUCCGUUACAACAUCGGUGGGUGGUGGGGUUGUAACUCUUUCGACCACAACACCCUGGUCUCGCUGUGACACGCCCCAGAACGUUCCUUCGUAGUUUCCCCUCGCAGCACCAAUGUGACUGGCGGUUGUAGUUCAACGUACCACAGCAUUUGUUGAGGUACCAUGGUCCCAACAGAGGGCGGACGUACCCCUUGCAACAGAUGUGUGUAUGAGGGUCGAACGGCCGCAUCGUCUGCCCACAAUACGACCAGUAGUGAUCCACCGAGUUAUACUGAUGAGAAUAAUGGUUCUCGUUUGUUGAAACUAAAAGAUUGUGAAAUAGGAAA